GCAAAAACUACUGGACGGAUUGGGCUGAAAUUUAGAAUGGAGAUAGCUAUUAUCACAUAGCCAUCCGCUAAGUAAGGAUAUUUGAAAAUGCAACCCCCAAGCGGGUGAAAUAGGGGUUCGAAAUUUGUGUAGUC